GAUGAACGCUGGCGGCGUGCCUAAUACAUGCAAGUCGAGCGAACGGACGAGAAGCUUGCUUCUCUGAUGUUAGCGGCGGACGGGUGAGUAACACGUGGAUAACCUACCUAUAAGACUGGGAUAACUUCUGGAAACCGGAGCUAAUACCGGAUAAUAUUUUGAACCGCAUGGUUCAAAAGUGAAAGACGGUCUUGCUGUCACUUAUAGAUGGAUCCGCGCUGCAUUAGCUAGUUGGUAAGGUAACGGCUUACCAAGGCAACGAUGCAUAGCCGACCUGAGAGGGUGAUCGGCCACACUGGAACUGAGACACGGUCCAGACCCCUACGGGAGGCAGCAGUAGGGAAUCUUCCGCAAUGGGCGAAAGCCUGACGGAGCAACGCCGCGUGAGUGAUGAAGGUCUUCGGAUCGUAAAACUCUGUUAUUAGGGAAGAACAUAUGUGUAAGUAACUGUGCACAUCUUGACGGUACCUAAUCAGAAAGCCACGGCUAACUACGUG
rnacentral:rRNA from 1 species